rnacentral:misc_RNA from 1 species
GAAAAAGCUGAGUUAGCUCUAAAGAAGCUUGAAGAAGAGAUGGGACCUCGUAAUCGUCAGGCUUACCACUAUUUGAUUAGUUUGCACGCCAGAAUAUCUAAUCUAGGUGAGGUUUAUCGUAUUUGGGGUUCUCUAAAGAGUUCCUUGGAUCUAACCAAUUCUAGUUAUCUUGUCAUGCUUCAGUCCCUUAGUAAGCAUAACGACAUGGAUGGUUUAAAGAAAUACUACGAGGAAUGGGAAUCAAGCUGCUCUACUUAUGAUAUGAGGCUGGCAAAUAAUGUCAUUGGAGCUUAUCUGAGACAUGACAUGUUAAACAAUGCGGAGAAAGUCUUUCAUUGUGCUUUGAAGAGAUCACAAGGACCUUUCUUCUUGGCUUGGGAAAUGUUCAUGCUUUUCUAUUUGAGGAAACGUCAAAUCAAUUUUGCUCAACAGUGCAUGGAAGCAAUUGCCUCUCGGAUAAAGGAAAACAAAUGGCGACCAAAAUAUGAAACCAUAAGUAAUUUUCUCGAGUAUUUUGUUGAAGAAAAAGAUGUUGAUGGUGCUGAGGAGUUCUACAAAUUUCUGAAGAAGGUAAACUGCCUUAGUAGUGAUGUCUAUAAUUCAUUGCUUCGCACUUACGCAGCUGCUAACAGAACAACAGACGAUAUGAAACUGAG